rnacentral:rRNA from 1 species
AGGACGAACGCUGGCGGCGUGCUUAACACAUGCAAGUCGAGCGGAAAGGCCCUUCGGGGUACUCGAGCGGCGAACGGGUGAGUAACACGUGAGGAACCUGCCCUGGACUUUGGGAUAACCCUCGGAAACGGGGCUAAUACCGAAUACGACUGCUGAUCGCAUGGUUGGUGGUGGAAAGUUUUUCGGUCUGGGAUGGUCUCGCGGCCUAUCAGCUUGUUGGUGGGGUAAUGGCCUACCAAGGCGACGACGGGUA